ACUCAAAGGAAUAGACGGGGGCCCGCACAAGCGGUGGAGCAUGUGGUUUAAUUCGACGCAACGCGAAGAACCUUACCUGGGUUGGAACCCUCUGGAAUCCCCUAGAGAUAGGGGAGUGCUCUUCGGAGAAUCAGAUGUCCAGGUGCUGCAUGGCUGUCGUCAGCUCGUGUCGUGAGAUGUUGGGUUAAGUCCCGCAACGAGCGCAACCCUUGUCCUUAGUUGCCAGCAUUCAGUUGGGCACUCUAAGGAGACCGCCGGUGUUAAACCGGAGGAAGGUGGGGAUGACGUCAAGUCCUCAUGGCCCUUAUGCCCAGGGCUACACACGUGCUACAAUGGCGACUACAAAGGGCUGCGAAGCCGCAAGGUGAAGCUAAUCCCAAAAAAGUCGCCUCAGUUCGGAUAGUCGUCUGCAACUCGACGACUUGAAGCCGGAAUCGCUAGUAAUCGCUGAUCAGCAGGCAGCGGUGAAUACGUUCCCGGGCCUUGUACACACCGCCCGU
rnacentral:rRNA from 1 species